GAACGGGUGAGGAUCACGUGAGAAACCUGCCCCAGACUUUGGGAUAACAGUUGGAAACGACUGCUAAUACCGGAUGACGUCGGAGAACCGCAUGGUUCACUGACGAAAGAUAUUUCGGUUUGGGAGCGUCUCGCGGCCUAUCAGCUUGUUGGUGGGGUAAUGGCUCACCAAGGCGACGACGGGUAGCUGGUCUGAGAGGAUGAUCAGCCACACUGGGACUGAGACACGGCCCAGACUCC
rnacentral:rRNA from 1 species